rnacentral:tRNA from 1 species
GCUGUGGCUCAAUGGUAGAGCAUCUGCUUGGCAUGCAGAAGAUUCCAGUUUCAAUUCCCGGCAUCUCCA